GGCGAACGGGUGAGUAAUAUAUCGGAACGUGCCCUGGAGUGGGGGAUAACUAGUCGAAAGACUAGCUAAUACCGCAUACGAUCUAUGGAUGAAAGUGGGGGAUCGCAAGACCUCAUGCUCGUGGAGCGGCCGAUAUCUGAUUAGCUAGUUGGUGGGGUAAAAGCCUACCAAGGCAUCGAUCAGUAGCUGGUCUGAAAGGACGACCAGCCACACUGGGACUGAAACACGGCCCAAACUCCUACGGGAGGCAGCAGUGGGGAAUUCUGGACAAUGGGGGCAACCCUGAUCCAGCAAUGCCGCGUGAGUGAAGAAGGCCUUCGGGUUGUAAAGCUCUUUUGUCAGGGAAGAAACGGUCCGGGCUAAUAUCCUGGGCUAAUGACGGUACCUGAAGAAUAAGCACCGGCUAACUACGUGCCAGCAGCCGCGGUAAUACGUAGGGUGCAAGCGUUAAUCGGAAUUACUGGGCGUAAAGCGUGCGCAGGCGGUUGUGCAAGACAGAUGUGAAAUCCCCGGGCUCAACCUGGGAAUUGCAUUUGUGACUGCACGGCUAGAGUGUGUCAUAGGGGGGUAGAAUUCCACGUGUAGCAGUGAAAUGCGUAUAGAUGUGGAGGAAUACCGAUGGCGAAUGCAGCCCCCUGGAUAACACUGACGCUCAUGCCCAAAGCGUGGGGAGCAAACAGGAUUAGAUACCCUGGUAGUCCACGCCCUAAACGAUGUCAACUGAUUGUUGGGUCUCUUCUGACUCAGUAACGAACUAACGCGUGAAGUUGACCGCCUGGGGAGUACGGCCGCAGGAUGAAACUCAAAGGAUUUGACGGGACCCACACAGCGGGGCAUGAUGUGGUUUGAUUCGAUGCACGCGAAACCCUACCCACCUUUGACUGUACGGAAUUGGCAGAGAUGGCUAACUGCUCAAAGAAGAACCGUUACCCCGUGCUGCAUGGCUGUCUCAGCUCGUGACGGGGGAUAGUUGGGCUUUAGUCCCGAAACGAGCGGUACUCUGUGC
rnacentral:rRNA from 1 species